AGAGUUUGAUCCUGGCUCAGGAUGAACGCUGGCGGCGUGCCUAAUACAUGCAAGUCGAGCGAGAACUUAAUGAUUGAAGAUUCGUCUGAUUGAUUAGGGAAAGCGGCGGACGGUGAGUAACGCGUAGGCAACCUGCCCUUAGCAGAGGGAUAGCCAUUGGAAACGAUGAUUAAAACCUCAUAAUGCUGGAGAGUCACAUGUCACUUCAGCCAAAGAUUUAUCGGCUAGGGAUGGGCCUGCGUCUGAUUAACUAGUUGGUGGGGUAACGGCUCACCAAGGUGACGAUCAGUAGCCGACCUGAGAGGGUGAUCGGCCACAUUGGAACUGAGACACGGUCCAAACUUCUACGGAAGGCAGCAGUAAGGAAUCUUGCACAAUGGGGGAAACCCUGAUGCAGCAACGCCGCGUGAACGAUGAAGGCCUUAGGGUUGUAAAGUUCUGAUCUGGGGGACGAAGAAAGUGACGGUACCCCAGGAGAAAGCCCCGGCUAAAUACGUGCCAGCCGCCGC
rnacentral:rRNA from 1 species